rnacentral:lncRNA from 1 species
UUGUCCUGACAGAUUGUGUCAAAUGAGGGGCUUCUGGAAGAUAGGAUUGAAGGAAUUGGAGGCAUGGAAAGACUGGGCCUUGGGCUUUCUAUUUGGCUUAAGGGCUUGGCCCCAUGGGCGGAUCCAACAAUCUCCCCCUCCAGCCCAUGGAGGGUACUCCUGAAAUCUUCAAGUUAUCCAUCUUGACAACUUCUGAUCAGCUCCCCAGAAGAUCGCAAGACUGAAUCCGAGUAUCUUGCCCUCAUCAAUGGGCAAUGCACUUCAGACUUAGUGCCUGCACCUUCUUCCUUAGUGUGCCUUGCUACCCUCAACAGGAGGCUACGCAAAGAUACUCACUUUGCGAGUAGUAGUGGCUACAGUCUCUCCUCCUUUGUGUAAACAUUUGACGAGACACUGCCACUAAUCAAAUCGAGAGCAAAGAGACCCGUUUCGGCGACGUCGACGCCUGGCAUUUACAACUCUCAGAUCGACUUGUCUCCUUCCUCUGGGACUUUUCUAUGAAUCUGCACUGGCUGCAAUGUCUUUCUGGUCAGAAUUCCGCACGUGUCUCAAAGCAUCUCCAUGCGUAUCACUUGCGCUCCUCAGGUGUCUCUGCGCUUGCUUUGUGUGCCUGUGUGCACCGUUGCUUCCCUGUCCAUUCUUCCGUCUUAUAUACUGACCCAGUCGACAGCGUCUCUUCCUGUCUGGACAUUCCCCAACAGCCAGUCGAUAUAGUCCUUUGAUCUUCUUUCCACCUCAGCAUCUCUUUGUUUCCUUUGGAAAUUCUCAAGAUUCCUUCCUUAGCUGCAAUGCUGCAGCCAUUGAAUCUAGCAUUCCGAUGAAAUCAAAUUCUUCCGUAGUUUGGGAACAUGGUACAUCGGUCAACGUCACAGCAACAUCCCAUCUGCCAUGCGGAAACCGGACUGUUCCCUUGCCAACAACUUUAUUUGUCGGUUGUUCGCCAUACGUACAAGUCCCUCGAAUGCUGCGUUUGUAGAGAAAACAAUCUUAGGUCUCUACAAAAAUGGUAGGCACAUUCCUGAAUACAGUAUCCACUAGGGAUUCUCAUCUCCCGAUUGAAACUAGGAAAAACAUCAUUGUCUGAAUCUGUCAUACUGAUGCGAUGUUUUUUUUACUGAUGCGGUCUCGAAGACUGGAUCUGUGCUUUAUUACUUUGGGCAAUUCAUCUUCAUAUGCAUUCUGAUCGCAGAAAAAAACACUUAAAAACUAACGACCCCUGCUUGUGACUCGGCAGGUCCUCUUCAUUAUUCUUGUGACCCCUAGACCUCUUUCCCUGCUUCGUAUGAGAUUAGGGCUGCGACUCCUGCGCUCUGUCAUGCCCAUCUCUUUCUUCCGUGAUUCUUCGUUUGAAUAGGGCAUCCUUGACUGGACUCAAAGUAAACUUCCAUCUUGCGCGGAAUUGAUGAGAGAAACCACCAAUGUCUCCCGAACUCUUCUGCUAAAGAAAUCAGAAAGCAGUAGAGCCUGCAUCUCAUCGUCAAAAUGGAUGGUAUAUAUGGCCAACACUGGUUGACCAAAUUGGAACUCGCUCGUAUGUUCCGCCACGUCCCUCUCUGAAGUUUCAGAUUCACAAGCCUUCCUCAUCAAUAAGCCUUGUUCCGAGAUGUCUUACGCUUGGUACUCUUCUCCAAUUGGUCAUAAAUAAUUAAGCACUCGUCUCUUGGCGACGUGGUGGAACACCUCGUGUCCAAUUUGCACAUGUCUGAUCAGCUCAAUCGUUUUCAGGUUCAUCUUCGCAUCUCAUCCUUCUUCUCUGUCGGUUUUUCCUUAUUCUCUAAAGAUCAUGCAAAUCUUGACAGAAUAGGAUGUCUUUCAUCCUCGGUUCCCAUAGAGCGUAAUUUGUAGCUGAAGCAAAAGAAUAGCUCCCAAAUUUAGAAAACUUUUUUUUUUCCGGCCUAUUACUUCUCUCUAAUAGAAGCAAAAUCUCGAAAACCGACCCCGCGGAGGGAUACGGAACGCCGAAGAAAACUCAGAGAUAGGCUUUUGUCGUCGAAUCAGAACUAUUCUGGGACCCAAAUUACUCAAAUUGAAACUUCUCGGGACUAAAUGAAAUUUAAUUUUUCCCAGGGACCUAAUUGCAAUAUCCAAAACUCCAGGGGCUAAAUUGUAAGUUCCAAAUUCAGGGACCAAAAUUGAAAAGAUCAAAAAUCCAGGGACCAAAAGUGUAUUUUCACUUUUUGGUCAACGGAAUGGUAAACGUUGACCAGUAAACGGUCAACGGCGGCUGAUCAGCGGCUGGAGUUGACUGGCGCGGCUCGGCUGGUCCAACGAGUCAACGGAUCAGAGUUGGACGGUAAGCGGGGGGGGGCCCCUCGGGUCAACGCGGUCAGGCUCUGGGUGACCAGACGGCAGCGUUCCGGCUCAAUUCGGCUCGCGCGUGUACAAACGCGAGGUUCACGGAGAGGCGCGACGAGACGGAUCAGCGCGGCUCCCGCGAAGGAUCAACUUGCUGGCGAGUGAGGCGCGUGUCAGCGGAACUUGCCGCCACUGAAUGGCGAGU